rnacentral:rRNA from 1 species
AGUGAACGCUGGCGGUAGGCCUAACACAUGCAAGUCGAACGGCAGCACAGUAAGAGCUUGCUCUUACGGGUGGCGAGUGGCGGAGGGGUGAGGAAUACAUCGGAAUCUACUUUUUCGUGGGGGUUAACGUAGGGAAACUUACGCUAAUACCGCAUACGACCUACGGGUGAAAGCAGGGGAUCUUUGGACCUUGCGCGAUUGAAUGAGCCGAUGUCGGAUUAGCUAGUUGGCGGGGUAAAGGCCCACCAUGGCGACGAACCGUAGCUGGUCUGAGAGGAUGGUCAGCCGCACGGGAAGUGAGACACGGACCAUGGUCCUACGGGAGGCAGCAGUGGGGAAUAGUGGACAGUGGGCGCGAGCCUGAUACAGCCAUACCGCGUGGGUGAAGAAGGCCUUCGGGUUGUAAAGCCCUUUUGUUGGGAAAGAAAAGCAGCAGGUUAAUACCACGCUGUUGUGACGGUACCCGAAGAAUAAGCACCGGCUAACUACGUG